rnacentral:rRNA from 1 species
AGAGUUUGAUCCUGGCUCAGAGUGAACGCUGGCGGCAGGCCUAACACAUGCAAGUCGAACGGCAGCGCAGCAGUAGCAAUACUGUGGGCGGCGAGUGGCGGACGGGUGAGGAAUACAUCGGAAUCUACCUUGUCGUGGGGGAUAACGUAGGGAAACUUACGCUAAUACCGCAUACGACCUACGGGUGAAAGCGGCGGACCGCAAGGCGUCGCGCGAUUGGAUGAGCCGAUGUCCGAUUAGCUAGUUGGCGGGGUAAGAGCCCACCAAGGCGACGAUCGGUAGCUGGUCUGAGAGGAUGAUCAGCCACACUGGAACUGAGACACGGUCCAGACUCCUACGGGAGGCAGCAGUGGGGAAUAUUGGACAAUGGGCGCAAGCCUGAUCCAGCCAUGCCGCGUGUGUGAAGAAGGCCUUCGGGUUGUAAAGCACUUUUGUUGGGGAAGAAAAGCUUCUGGUUAAUACCCGGGAGUUCUGACGGUACCCAAAGAAUAAGCACCGGCUAACUUCGUGCCAGCAGCCGCGGUAAUACGAAGGGUGCAAGCGUUACUCGGAAUUACUGGGCGUAAAGCGUGCGUAGGUGGUUCGUUAAGUUCGUUGUGAAAGCCCCGGGCUCAACCUGGGAACGGCAAUGGAAACUGGCGGGCUCGAGUGCGGCAGA